UAAAAAAAUAUAAAUAAAUAAAGCUGCUCACUUAAUUUCUAGAGAUAAAUAUCAUUAAUAUUUCU
rnacentral:tRNA from 1 species